UGGGGAAUCUUGCGCAAUGGACGAAAGUCUGACGCAGCCACGCCGCGUGAGUGAAGAAGGCCUUCGGGUUGUAAAGCUCUGUCGAGCGGGACGAAAAAUUAGGAAGUGAAUAGCCUCUUAAUCUGACGGUACCGCUAAAGGAAGCACCGGCUAACUCCGUGCCAGCAGCCGCGGUAAUACGGAGGGUGCAAGCGUUGCUCGGAAUUAUUGGGCGUAAAGGGUAGGUAGGUGGUCUCAUUUGUCUGGGGUGAAAGCCUUGAGCUUAACUCAAGAAGUGCCCCAGAAACGGUGAGACUGGAGUCCUGGAGAGGGUCGUGGAAUUCCCGGUGUAGCGGUGAAAUGCGUAGAGAUCGGGAGGAACACCAGAGGCGAAAGCGGCGACCUGGACAGGUACUGACACUCAACUACGAAAGCGUGGGGAGCAAACAGG
rnacentral:rRNA from 1 species